rnacentral:rRNA from 1 species
CCUACGGGAGGCAGCAGUGAGGAAUAUUGGUCAAUGGACGCAAGUCUGAACCAGCCAUGCCGCGUGCAGGAUGACGGCUCUAUGAGUUGUAAACUGCUUUUGUACGAGGGUAAACCCCGAUACGUGUAUCGGGUUGAAAGUAUCGUACGAAUAAGGAUCGGCUAACUCCGUGCCAGCAGCCGCGGUAAUACGGAGGAUCCGAGCGUUAUCCGGAUUUAUUGGGUUUAAAGGGUGCGUAGGCGGUUUGAUAAGUUAGAGGUGAAAUGUCGGGGCUCAACCCCGAAACUGCCUCUAAUACUGUUGGACUAGAGAAUAGUUGCGGUAGGCGGAAUGUAUGGUGUAGCGGUGAAAGGCUUAGAGAUCAUACAGAACACCGAUUGCGAAGGCAGCUUACCAAACUAUAUCUGACGUUGAGGCACGAAAGCGUGGGUAGCAAACAGGAUUAGAUACCCUAGUAGUC